GUAGUAUCCAAGCAAACACAAAAGCUAACGGUAUAAGCCCCACCUGGCCAGAUUCAAUAUUCAAUGCAUGUGUGAAUAAUGGCAUUAUUGUGUCAGGGAGGGUUUACAAUGGGAAUUCAGAGCAGCUACAGGUGGUUUGGAAUCAAACAAAGAAAAGUCCGUUUACUCAGUGAGCUUACUAAAACGUAGUGGUGAUUCAGUAUCAGCUGAUGAUCAGUUCCCUUAGAUAAGCAGCCAUCUGUCACACACCAUGUGCCUCCCACACAUAAGAGUCCCCUCGCGGGCAGCCUGUUUGCCUUGGGGGUCUCCCUGGGCGCCUGCACCGCUCUGCUCGGGGCACACACGGCUGGUGGCUGGGCUGCAGCCCUGGCUCCACUCCAAGGCUCUGCAGAGAAGACCCCACAGCACAGCGUGAGGAGCAGGAGAAGGGGGACUCGCUGACCCACUUGUGCCUGUUGCAGAAAAGAAGUGAUGCAGCGCAGCUGAUGCAGGACUCCCUGACAGGACCACAGGAGGAAGGAACAGCACAGCCUCCAAACACAAGCGGGUAGCCCCAGCACUUGUGACCCACCAAACCUUCCCACGGCAAGCUGCUUUUGGAAGAGCUGGGCACAGAGCUGCCACCCGAGUGCAGCAGGACUGCUUAGGGGAACAUGAGCCAAGGCUCCAAAGGCAGUCAGUGUGUUGAACCUGCUACAGGUGGGUUGGUACAUCAUGGCUGAAUUCUGCUUUUCUGCUGUGAGAUGACAGCUCUAACAAAACAUCUUCCCCCUAGGCUGCCUGUGGCUAGAAGCUGCUCCAGGCAGACACAAGAUCUGCCAAAGACCUUUACUAUGGUUCUGGCCUUCUAUUUUGUGAUCCCAUCAGUUCUUUGGGGAUCCUUCAGGAGCAGCAAUCCCAAUAAUAAUGAGUGCAAAUCCAAAAGAGCCUUUCAUCAAGGCACAAAUCCUGAAACAACUCAUCUCUAUUCAGAAGGACUGGCUGCAUACUGGAGGUCUCAUGAGCUACCAAACAUCGCUCACCUUAACUUUCAGAAUACUUCUGGAAGUUAGUUAUUAGUCCCACAGUGCAGUGAAGAUAAUAUGGAGGCAGCGACCUUCAAAAGAAAGCAGGCACAGAUCCAGUUUUCCUGACUCCCAGUGCUUCCCUUAAACUCCAGAACCGCCUUUCCUCAGCUUCAAACUCUUUUUUUUUUUUCAUUUUUUUUUUUUUCUUAGUCAUUCUGAGGAGAGGGGAAACAGCCUGCAUACAAAGAUCAAAUUCAGAUAUUUUGUGAAGGACAGUACAGCUUUUCACCUUUAGGACUUUACUGCAGCGCUAUCUCAAGCUCAGAUCUAGAUGUUGUCCUUAACUUCAAGGUUUCCACACUUGAGCUCCCUCACCAAGUGUGGCAGCACCUUCAGCCCUGCCUGGCAGGUUCAGAGACGCCAAGUUGUUGCUUGUGUUUGCAUGUAUCCUAUGUAUAUGGAAGAUAAAGGCUUAAACACCUUCUUGCCCCAUGCUGUCUUACAAUUCCUCUUGCAUGUGCAAAAAAAAAAACAAACAGGCAUAUUCCUCCACCAUAUGUUGCAUAAAAAUAUAACAGAAUGGCUUAGUAUACUGUAGCAAGAAUAACCAGGUGCCAAACCUAUUGACCCAUAUAGGAGAAGUAAGUCUGGGGGACCCACAAGCUUUGGAAGGCUGUUAUAGAGAAUAUGGUCCACAGAGAGUCCAUGCACAGGCACAGAAAUGCACAAUCAGAGGACUGGUGAGGUUGGAAGGCAGCUCUGGAGAUUGUCUAAUAUAACACCCUGCUCAGAGCAGGGCCACCUAGAGUAGGUUGCCCAGGGCUGUGGCUGUUUGGGAUUUUGAAUAUCUCCAAGGAUGGAGACUCCACAGCAUCUCUAGGCAAUCUGUGCCAGUGCUUGAUCACCCUUACAACAAUA
rnacentral:lncRNA from 1 species